rfam:Cricetulus griseus cell line CHO-K1, whole genome shotgun sequence.
GGAGAGAUGGCUCAGAGGUUAAGAGCACUGGCUGCUCUUCCAGAGGUCCUGAGUUCAAUUCCCAGCAACCCCA